CCUACGGGAGGCUGCAGUGGGGAAUAUUGGACAAUGGGGGCAACCCUGAUCCAGCCAUGCCGCGUGUGUGAAGAAGGCCCUCGGGUUGUAAAGCACUUUCAGUGAGGAAGAACGCCUGGUGGUUAAUACCCAUCAGGAAAGACAUCACUCACAGAAGAAGCACCGGCUAACUCCGUGCCAGCAGCCGCGGUAAUACGGAGGGUGCGAGCGUUAAUCGGAAUUACUGGGCGUAAAGCGCGCGUAGGUGGCUUGAUAAGCCGGUUGUGAAAGCCCCGGGCUCAACCUGGGAACGGCAUCCGGAACUGUCAAGCUAGAGUGCAGGAGAGGAAGGUAGAAUUCCCGGUGUAGCGGUGAAAUGCGUAGAGAUCGGGAGGAAUACCAGUGGCGAAGGCGGCCUUCUGGACUGACACUGACACUGAGGUGCGAAAGCGUGGGUAGCAAACAGGAUUAGAUACCCCGGUAGUA
rnacentral:rRNA from 1 species